UUUUUGUUUUAUACUUUAAACAUUGAUUUUAUUUUUUAUGUUUAUAGAUGUUCAUGUUUUUGAAUGUUUUAUUCAAAUAAUAUAAAAAAUAAAAUAUAUAUUGACAUGGAUUAAACAAAGAUAUAUUUUAUUCAAUGUUGUAUAAACAAAUUGGCAAAAUAGAGAUGGAAGAUAAAAAUAU
rnacentral:misc_RNA from 1 species